rnacentral:rRNA from 1 species
ACNNNNAGUACNNAGAUGCAUGGAAAAGAAUUUCUGAUGGCGGUCCUCAUUCCCUCUAGAGGCUUAUGAGAUUAAACGAAUUUGCCCGCAAAACUUCUCCCCUCUUAGACUAAAUCACCCUACCCACCACUGUCUGAAGAAUGAUUCACCAAUUUCUAACCCSUUUGUGGGNUUAAGGCAAGCAACCGUGUAGGUUAUGGAGGGGUAGAAUUGUAAGCCAAUUUUA